rnacentral:miRNA from 1 species
AUCUGCCAGUUACUCUGUAAGC